CUCCCGGGUAACCUACCACCCUUUGUUUAUUACACUUUGUUGCUUUGGCAGGCCUGCCCUCGGGCUGCUGGCUCCGGCCGGCGAGCGCCUGCCAGAGGACCUAAACUCUGUUUGUCUAUAAUGUCUGAGUACUAUAUAAUAGUUAAAACUUUCAACAACGGAUCUCUUGGUUCUGGCAUCGAUGAAGAACGCAGCGAAAUGCGAUAAGUAAUGUGAAUUGCAGAAUUCAGUGAAUCAUCGAAUCUUUGAACGCACAUUGCGCCCCCUGGUAUUCCGGGGGGCAUGCCUGUCCGAGCGUCAUUACAACCCUCAAGCUCAGCUUGGUGUUGGGCCCCGCCGCCCCGGCGGGCCCUAAAGUCAGUGGCGGUGCCGUCCGGCUCCGAGCGUAGUAAUUCUUCUCGCUCUGGAGGUCCGGUCGUGUGCUUGCCAGCAACCCCCAAUUUUU
rnacentral:rRNA from 1 species